rnacentral:rRNA from 1 species
ACUGAUCUUCCCGUGAAGAAACGGGAAUAAGUAUAUAAGACGAGAAGACCCCAUGGAGCUUUAAACCCAACAGCACCUAUCAUUUUUAUGUCCUCAUAUUCGCCUAGUUUAUGCUUGUUUGGUUUUGGGUUGGGGUGACCAUGGAGUAAAAAGUAACCUCCACGAAAAAAGGGAUAAAAUCCUUAUUAAAGAACUACACUUCUAUUCUUAGCAUACUAAUUUUUGAUGAUCCGACAUUCGAUCAACGAACCAAGUUACCCUGGGGAUAACAGCGCAAUCUGCC